GACGAACGCUGGCGGCGUGCUUAACACAUGCAAGUGGAGCGACGAACCAGGGCUUGCCCUGGGGCAGAGCCGCGAACGGGUGAGUAACACGUGGGUAACGUGCCCCGAUGACUGGGACAACCCGGGGAAACCCGGGCUAAUACCGGAUAUGCCCCCUCACAUCUGUGAGGUGUGUAAAGGAAGCUUCGGCCUCCGCAUCGGGAUCGGCCCGCGGCCCAUUAGCUUGUUGGUGAGGUAAUGGCUCACCAAGGCUUCUAUGGGUAGCUGGUCUGAGAGG
rnacentral:rRNA from 1 species